AAUGGGCGCAAGCCUGAUCCAGCCAUGCCGCGUGAGUGAUGAAGGCCCUAGGGUCGUAAAGCUCUUUCGCCAGGGAAGAUAAUGACGGUACCUGGUAAAGAAACCCCGGCUAACUCCGUGCCAGCAGCCGCGGUAAUACGGAGGGGGUUAGCGUUGUUCGGAAUUACUGGGCGUAAAGCGCGCGUAGGCGGACUAUUAAGUCGAGGGUGAAAUCCCGGGGCUCAACCCCGGAACUGCCUUCGAUACUGGUAGUCUUGAGGUCGAGAGAGGUGAGUGGAACUCCGAGUGUAGAGGUGAAAUUCGUAGAUAUUCGGAAGAACACCAGUGGCGAAGGCGGCUCACUGGCUCGAUACUGGCGCUGAGGUGCGAAAGUGUGGGGAGCAAACAGGAUU
rnacentral:rRNA from 1 species